AACGAACGCUGGCGGCGCGCCUAAUACAUGCAAGUCGAGCGAGAAGGUGUAGCAAUACACUUGUAAAGCGGCGAACGGGUGAGGAAUACAUGGGUAAUCUACCAUCGAGUGGGGAAUAACCAACCGAAAGGUUGGCUAAUACCGCGUACGCCUCCGAGUCUUCGGGUUCGGAGGGAAAGCUGCACUGUGAGUGUAGCGCUCUUUGAUGAGCUCAUGUCCUAUCAGCUUGUUGGUAGGGUAACGGCCUACAAGGCUUUGACGGUAGCUGGUCUGAGAGGACGAUCAGCCACACUGGCACUGCGACACGGGCCAGACUCCUACGGGAGGCAGCAGUAAGGAAUAUUGCGCAAUGGGCGAAAGCCUGACGCAGCGACGCCGCGUGGGGGAUGAAGGUCUUCGGAUUGUAAACCCCUUUCGGGAGGGAAGAUGGAGCGAGCAAUCGUUCGGACGGUACCUCCAGAAGCAGCCACGGCCAACUUCGUGCCAGCAG
rnacentral:rRNA from 1 species